GAGGUAACGGCUCACCAAGGCGACGACGGGUAGCCGGCCUGAGAGGGCGACCGGCCACACUGGGACUGAGACACGGCCCAGACUCCUACGGGAGGCAGCAGUGGGGAAUAUUGGGCAAUGGACGCAAGUCUGACCCAGCGACGCCGCGUGAGGGAUGAAGGCCUUCGGGUUGUAAACCUCUUUCAGUGGGGAAGAAGCGAAAGUGACGGUACCCAAAGAAGAAGCACCGGCUAACUAUGUGCCAGCAGCCGCGGUAAUACAUAGGGUGCAAGCGUUGUCCGGAAUUAUUGGGCGUAAAGAGCUCGUAGGCGGCUUGUUACGUCGGCUGUGAAAACCUGGGGCUCAACCCCGGGCCUGCAGCCGAUACGGGCAAGCUAGAAUUCGGUAGGGGAGACUGGAAUUCCUGGUGUAGCGGUGAAAUGCGCAGAUAUCAGGAGGAACACCGGUGGCGAAGGCGGGUCUCUGGGCCGAUAUUGACGCUGAGGAGCGAAAGCGUGGGGAGCGAACAGGAUUAGAUACCCUGGUAGUCCACGCCGUAAACGUUGGGCGCUAGGUGUGGGCCACAUUCCACGUGGUCUGUGCCGCAGCUAACGCAUUAAGCGCCCCGCCUGGGGAG
rnacentral:rRNA from 1 species